ACUGAGACAAGAAACUAUAGUUUACUGAAGGUAUUUCAGUUCCUCGUACCGCCUGAACAAGGUGUUUGUCUAGAUUUUCCUUAUUCUUUUCCCUUAACUGUCGUGCUUUAUGGCAACAUGGUUUGGUUGUAAAACCUAAAGGACGAAGUAUCCACCAUAAUGGAGGAAAAAAUAAAAGAGAGAAAAGAAAACGAAGUACCUUUUAGAGAAUUUGGAUCUGCAAAAGGCCCUGUACCCAAAUCCAUACACAUUGGAGAUUGGCGCCUCCCCAUGAAUUAUGAGGAUAGAGAUCUGCUCACAACAGUUAUGAAGAGGGCUCACUGAAAGAGUUUAAGUUAAGAAGUGAAAUAAAAUCCUGUGUUAAGAAAA